UGAUCUCCUCCAGAGAUUGCAGGGCUGCCGCGAAGGCGAAGAGUGCACUACCUGGGAAGUAUAGUCCCAAGGCUGAAACUUAAAGGAAUUGGCGGGGAGACACUACAACGGGUGACGCGUGCGGUUUAAUCGGACUCUACACCGAAAAUCUCACCAGAAGCGACAGCAGAAUGAAGGUCAGUCUGAAGGGCUUACCUGACACGCUGAGUAGUCUUGCAUGGCCGACGUCAGCCUGUGCCGUGAGGUGACCUGUUAAAUCAGGUAACAGGCAAGACCCACGCCCUUAUUUGUUUUCUAUAAGGGGAUUGCCGCGGAAACGUGGAUGAAAGUGUGGGCUACGUUAGGUAAGUAAAAGCUUAAUCUUCUGGGCGACACGCGCGCGUCAAAGGCGAAUACAACGGGAUGCAACUCCGAAAGGAGAAGCUAAUCUCUUAAAGUUCGUCUCAGUCCAGAUCGAGGUUUGUAACUCAGCCUCGUGACACUGGAAUCCGUAGUAAUCGUUUGUCAACAACGAACGGUGAAUACGUCACUGUCUCUUGCACACACUGCCCGUCAAACCAACCGAGUUUAUCUAGGAUGAAACUUUUCGAAGGUGAAUCUUGGGUAGACAAGGUAGGUUAAGUCGUAACAAGGUAGCC
rnacentral:rRNA from 1 species